UUGGGACUGCCAGGAGAGCACCAGCCUACUGCAGGGUCACCCCCUGGUUGAAGCCAUGCCAAAGACCUGUCCCCUCUUCUUCCUCACCAUCUUCUGUGCAGGGGUCUCAUUGGAUAUAAUUUUGGAACCAGAUACCAAAGCACUAACUGUUCUCAUUGGGGAGGCUGCUACCCUCCAUUGCAGCGUAACAGGAGGGGACCUGAAGAACUAUCAAAUGAGCUGGUAUAAGAAGAAUGAAGAUAACUCUCUGAUUUUGGUCUCCAAACUAAGCAACAAUUCUAAUGACAAUUUAGGGAAUAAUUUCAAGGUGAAAACUGAUACUUUAAAAAGUCAAUUUAUGCUUGACAUUCAGAAAGCAACAACACAAGAUGUUGGGACUUACUACUGUGCGUCUGAUAUCCACAGUGCUGCAGCUCCGUUUCUGACCGCUUCAGAAACCCUAGGGCCAAACUGAGCUGGCAGAUCCAAUUCGAGACCACCCCGGCCUAAAAUGUGCACCACACCUGAGAUGAGGCUGCCUGAUCACUUCAACAGUAAUAUCUGAUAAAAGAGGCCAGGAGUUGAAAGUGGGGGCAAGGGGCUUAUCUUUGCAGUUGGUUUAGAGGGGCCUUCUUUAUCAGUUGAAGAGGGCAGGAAAGGCUGUUAGGAUUUUUGUGGAGAGAUGUCGGGGGUUGAGGGUGGGGUGCUGAACCUGUCUCUCACAGGCUCCUGAGGAAAGGUUGAAAAUAACAGCUUUUAAUACUGAAUAGGCCCUCUCAUUGUGGAGGCAGGCUGAGAUAAAUAGAACCUUUACUAUCACGAGUGCUGUAGCUCAUUGCAGUCUUUAUUGUGAAAGUGUUCAUGUGCAUAAGCCAGAUAAAGCAAGGAUGGUUUUCCAUUACCAUCCUAAUCAAAAUUUCCAAAGCUAUUAGAGAUAGCUUUAAUUCUUACUCUGUGA